rnacentral:tRNA from 1 species
GCUGGGGUAGUUCAGUGGUUAGAGUAAAGACCUAAACGCCAGACUCAUAAUCUGGAAGUCGUGGGUUCGAAUCCCACCCCCAGCA